AAAGUGCUGGGAUUACAGGCAUGAGCCACCACACCCAGUCCUGAAAUUAACAUUUGAGACAGUGGACUGGGAGAGGCAGACCCACCCUCAAUCUGGGUGGGCACCAUCUGCCCACCCAGCUGCCAGCACAGCUAGGAUAAAAGCAGGCAGAGGAACGUGGAAGGACUAGACUGGCUGACUCUUCCAGCCUUCAUCUUUCUCCUGUGCUGGAUGCUUCCUGCCUUCGAACAUUGGACUCCAAGUUCUUCAGCUUUUCGACUCUUGGACUUACACCAGUGGUUUGUCAGGGGCUCUCCAGCCAUCAGCCACAGACUGAAGGCUGCACUGUUGGCUUCCCUACUUUUGAGGUGUUGGGACUCGGACUGGCUUCCUUGCUCCUCAGCUUGCAGACGGCCUAUUGUGGGACUUCAUCUUAUGAUCGUGACCUGGCUUCUUGAGACUGGAAUAGAAGAAGGGGGAAAAGCCUAGGACAAUAAACUGAUCCAGUCAAGACUGCUUCUGAGA
ensembl:lncRNA novel transcript